GCAAGAUUAAAACUCAAAGGAAUAGACGGGGACCCGCACAAGUGGUGGAGCAUGUGGUUUAAUUCGAAGAUACGCGAAGAACCUUACCUAGCCUUGACAUUGAUAGAAUCUUCCAGAGAUGGAGGAGUGCCUUUAGGGGAACUUGAAAACAGGUGCUGCACGGCUGUCGUCAGCUCGUGUCGUGAGAUGUUGGGUUAAGUCCCGCAACGAGCGCAACCCUCGUCACUAGUUACUAACAGUUAGGCUGAGGACUCUAGUGAGACUGCCUUCGUAAGGAGGAGGAAGGUGAGGACGACGUCAAGUCAUCAUGGCCCUUACGGCUAGGGCAACACACGUGCUACAAUGGUUAGGACAGUGAGAAGCGAUACCGCGAGGUGGAGCCAAUCUAUAAACCUAAUCUCAGUUCGGAUUGUAGUCUGCAACUCGACUACAUGAAGCUGGAAUCACUAGUAAUCGUAGAUCAGCUAUGCUACGGUGAAUACGUUCCCGGGUCUUGUACUCACCGCCCGUCACACCAUGGGAGUUGAUUUCACCCGAAGCGGGGAAGCUAAACUGGCUACCCUCCACGGUGGAAUUAGCGACUGGGGUGAAGUCGUAACAAGAUA
rnacentral:rRNA from 1 species